GACGUAGGGUCCGAGCGUUGUCCGGAAUUACUGGGCGUAAAGAGCUCGUAGGUGGUUUGUCGCGUUGUUCGUGAAAACUCACAGCUCAACUGUGGGCGUGCGGUCGAUACGGGCAUCACUGGAGUUCGGCAGGGGAGACUGGAAUUCCUGGUGUAGCGGUGAAAUGCGCAGAUAUCAGGAGGAACACCGGUGGCGAAGGCGGCUUUCUGGGCCUUACCUGACGCUGAGGAGCGAAAGCUGGGGGAGCAAACAGG
rnacentral:rRNA from 1 species